rnacentral:rRNA from 1 species
AACGAACGCUGGCGGCAUGCCUAACACAUGCAAGUCGAACGGGAUCCAGGCUUCGGCCUGGUGAGAGUGGCGGACGGGUGAGUAACACGUGGGAACCUGCCUUUUGGUUCGGGAUAACCGCGGGAAACUGCGGCUAAUACCGGAUGCUCCCGAGAGGGGAAAGAUUUAUCGCCAGAAGAGGGGCCCGCGUCCGAUUAGGUAGUUGGUGAGGUAAUGGCUCACCAAGCCGACGAUCGGUAGCUGGUCUGAGAGGAUGAUCAGCCACACUGGGACUGAGAUACGGCCCAGACUCCUACGGGAGGCAGCAGUGGGGAAUAUUGGACAAUGGGGCGAACCCUCGAUCCAGCAAUGCCGCGUGAGUGAUGAAGGCCUUAGGUUGUAAAGACUCUUUUGUCCAGGGAAGGAAUGAUGACUGUACCUGGAGAA